GCACGAGAAAGGGGGCUUCGGCUCCCGAGUAAAGUGGCGCACGGGUGAGUAACGCGUGGGUAACCUCCCCUUGAAUCCGGGAUAACACUGCGAAAGUGGUGCUAAUACCGGAUACGAUCCUUAGGCGGGAGCUUGAGGAUGAAAGCCGGCCUCUCGAAGAAGCUGGUGUUCGAGGAUGGGCUCGCGUCCUAUCAGCUAGUUGGUGAGGUAAUGGCUCACCAAGGCGACGACGGGUAGCUGGUCUGAGAGGAUGAUCAGCCACACUGGCACUGAAACACGGGCCAGACUCCUACGGGAGGCAGCAGUGAGGAAUUUUGCGCAAUGGGGGCAACCCUGACGCAGCAACGCCGCGUGGGUGAAGAAGGCCUUCGGGUCGUAAAGCCCUGUCAGGUGGGAAGAAUGUCCCGGGGGCGAAUAAUUUCCGGGAGUGACGGUACCACCAGAGGAAGCACCGGCUAACUCCGUGCCAGCAGCCGCGGUAAUACGGAGGGUGCAAGCGUUGUUCGGAAUCAUUGGGCGUAAAGAGCGUGUAGGCGGCUGGACAAGUCUGAUGUGAAAGCCCGGGGCUCAACCCCGGAAGUGCAUUGGAAACUGUCCGACUUGAGUACUGGAGAGGAUGGGGGAAUUCCCGGUGUAGAGGUGAAAUUCGUAGAGAUCGGGAGGAAUACCAGUGGCGAAGGCGCCCAUCUGGACGGAUACUGACGCUGAGACGCGAAAGCGUGGGGA
rnacentral:rRNA from 1 species